ensembl:lncRNA
CAAACACACACAGACACACUCACACACACACACACACACACACACACACACACACACACAUACACACACAUACACACACACACACAGACACACAAUGCUUUGACAAGAUUGUUGAUUCGCCAAGUUAAAGGAAGAAAAGCACAUGUUUACUAGUGUGAAUGUGAUGUUGUACAGAUGAGAUGAACAAACUGGAUCCUCACAAGCAACUAAAUCGUUCUGAUAAAAUAAGCACAAUGUGCUGAUAAUCCAGUACAACAACUAAGUACUUUAGUUAUUCAAACCUAACUAAGUACCUCGUUUAACCUUAACUAAGUUAAAGGACUUCAUAGUCAACUUCUCUGUGUUUUGAAGUAGAAAUGGAAUAUUGGACCUCUGAUGUUCCGGAUCGUCUCCGGGGGACAUUUAAUGAGCCUCGGCUCAGAAGGCGACUUUUGAUGGUGAAUCGUCCAGCGUCGUCAUGCUGAGUCCUCUUCAUUGUGCUGUGAGUUAUUCACAGCCGUCCUCCUGCAUUGCUCUUUUCUUUGGUCCUCGUAGACAUGAUGAUGAAGCGCUGUCCUCACAUCAGGCGUUCUGUUCAGAACGUCUACGAGGAACCAACGUUCCCUCAAUGACGCAAGAAUCUAGACGUCUCCUCAGUGAACAGAGAGCAAAGAGAAUCACAUCCUGUGGGUUGGCUCCUCCUCUCCUGUAUGCAUGUACUUAUAUACCCGUACACAAAGUAUUACUAUGGUAAAGGGUGUAAAUGGCAAUCUGCCUGUAAGCUCCAGGCGAUCAGCUGUUUCUGUCUCUAAUGGUUGUUCAUGACUCACAGUGGUCUCCCAUCGACUGAGGGAACAUUGCUAAUGAAGGGAGGGAACGGGGGGAGGAGGAGGAGAGAGGGAGGAACAGGACAGGAGGCGUGUCAAAGUAAAAGCAGAGCUCCGCCCACCAGGAACGAGCCCUUAUUGUCACUUAAAUAACGUAAAUAUGAAGCGAGUUCUUUGCUUCUUCUUCUAAUCGACAGCUGAAUGAAUCUAAAACCGAAGCUCUGAAUCAUUAUCACAUGCAGAUCUCUGCAGUACAUCAAAUAUACACGCAGAAAGCCCCCCCAAGAAUAUUUUAAAACAUUUUUAAUUCAUGAAAUACUUUUCAAACCAUAAUUACUAAGUAUAUAACCUCACAGAUUCCCUAAAGUUAACAAAUUGUUUUCUUCUUAUAAAGAGUUUUUGUUUCACAAAUCGAGCACUUGAUCUGCAUCCAAAGAUGAAUUCAAUUUGUGUGAAUUUAUGUGAAGUUACUAGUUACUUGUUUCCGCUAAUCCACUAAUCCGCUAAUCCACUAAUCUACUAAUCCAACCUAAAACAAUCCACACGCCUCAGUCUUCAACCCGCCGACGGCUCCUCAGAGACCAAUUAGACUCACACACCUGAGACGCAGGAAACCACACACACACCGCACACAAGCACACGCACACAGAGUGUUACCCCCCCCCUCCCCCCAUGUCGCUCGCCUCGCUUCAUUUCCAUGCAGAUUAUGUCGAACGAAUCGAAGAUGCAGAACAAAGCGAAGACAUUCGUGUUUGAGCUUCACAUCGAACAGAGAAGGAUGAUUGUUUUCUGCACGGAGACACAGAAAGACGCAGCAGAUUUUCAUCUGUGACUCUUUGACAUUAACUUUACUUCACUGACUCCUUUAGGCGUGCAGGAGUUUGUUGCCACGGUGACGGCACUCACUGGGUUACGGACCUCAGAUCGGUCCUUUUGUUAAUCAACCGGUGAACAGGAAGUGACCAUAUAAGGACUGAGGAGGACGUAGAGACGGCGUAUACGUCUGGUAGAGACCUGUCAAUCAGCGUGUAGGCCCGCCCUAAAGCACCUCCUGCUUUAUGGUGUAUUUAUAUCCAACAGUAAGUCCGUUGCCUCCACGUUAUAUUUACACGUAAUAAAAAACCUUUGCUCACACUUCAAGGUUUUCACAGAGAACGAGAGACUCACACUGUGUGGUUAACGGCGCACACACACAGACUCACACACACACACACACACAGUUUGUAACUAAAAAUACCCUUUUUUUCUCUUCCUCUCUUAUUUUUUUUCUUCUCUAUUGUUUUCUUUUUCUGCCACAAAGAGAGUUUUUUAAUAUAUUCUUUUAUUUUCUAAAAACAAACGUGCAACACACAUGGCGACGCUGUGGUCCAAUCAAUGAACCCGUAGCCGAUCUGCACCCGGGCUCCGCCUCUCAGCCGUGCUCCUGCAGCACCACCUCCUCCUCCGUCAGCGGCCCCUGCAGGUCCCCGUUGAUUAGCAUCCAACCAGCUGCACAUUUUGUAUCGAGCAGCACUUUGUGAGCGCCCCAAAGGAUUCUGGGUGAUGGUUUGUUUGUCCCUCCAUAAGGGAGAGGCGCCUUUAAACGGAGCGCUCGGUUUGGACGCCUCGGGCCCCCCCCCUCUUUCCUUCAGCAGAAGGCCGGCGCGUGUCCAUGAAUUAUUAAUCGCACAGACUUUAAAAUAAUUGAGAAGAGUUUUUGUCUGCUUUCAUGCCGCUACAAAAGGCCACGGCGAGUAAUUACAUUUAACGGGUUCACUUGGGCGCUGAGAUGAACACAGCAGAGACAUGAGAAUAGUCAGCUGACAGGAAGUAGGAAGUAGAGGGGUUUAAAUCCAAACACAUUUUUCUCCCCCAACUUCCUGCUUCUUGUCUCUCCGACGUCUUCGGGGAAGAAACAAAAGACAAAGUGACUUAAGACAAGGAGGACAAGACGUUCUUCUUCUGGACCGACAGGAAGGGACACGUGAACAGGCGUGUGCGUGUGUGUGACAUCAUCAAGGUGCGUCGCUCAGACCCCCUCGUUUCACAUCCUUCAGCUCAUCUGGAAGAGACUCGCCAACUGGACCCGGGGGGGUUACAGUCUGCCCCUUCAGGCCCAACUGGUCUCCAAUCCAAAGGCCGCUCUGUGACCGUUUCCCAGAAUGCUCUGGGUGUGAUGGAGCUUAUGAGCUCACGAGGGACUCGUCUCUCCAACGCCAUUGAUUUAGCGGAGCAGUCGGUCCUGAAGCAGUUCUGUGCGGAUCCUUGGAGAAAACCAGGAGGCCUCUGAGGAGCUCCAGACCAGCUCCAUGUCCUCAAGGUCACCAAGUCCACAGAAAGCUCAGAAGCUCAGGGAGACACGUGGAGGAACCUCGUUGGUCAAUGAACCACUUCAUUCUUUAUCAUAAGAUGUGAUCCGUCGUUUGUUAUUAUGUGAUGUAGAUAAAUGAAAACUAUUGAUUCACACACACACACACACACACAUUGUAGAGUGUGUGUGUGUGUGUGUGUGUGUGUGUGCGCACACAGCCUGAGGUGUUGAGCUGAAUGACAAAUGUUUGCCAUGGUGCUCAUAACGCUGAGAGCAGAACACCAGUACAACCUACUGUGUGUGUGUGUGUGUGUGUGUGUGUGUGUGUGUGUGUGCGUCACAGCUGCAUCGUGUUGUGUAUGUUUACACACUAUUGUGUCUCUCUCAUCGUUUCAUCACAUAUUUGUAGAGAUUACAGAUCAGAGUCCAGCAGAUAAACUCUGAUCCUGGUACUUCUCGUAGUACUCGUAGUACUCGUAGUACCACUGGCUGUACAUGAGCAGUAGUGUUUGUGUCUUAGUUGUUGUGACCUUUUUGUGAAGCCUUUAGUUUGACACAAGUUGUAUCCUGACCCCGAAGCAGCUUGGUGUAAUUAAGUCUGCAGCUCAUGGUUUCUACGUCACACGUACGUAUCAGAGCUCUGACUCUCUUCACGUCACCUGACACGAGACACGUGUGUUUAUUCGUUCAGGGACAAAAGUCUCUCUGACAGCCGGCGGCCAUUGAAACGCCUCCGUACCAUCAUCGGACCACCGGCGAGGGCAUCGCCGCCGUUUCUGGUCCAUCAUGUCAACACGUUCUGCCUCACACCAGGACAGCCUGGGAGACGUGGACGGCAGGUUAAAGCCACCCUGCGAUUGGCCGGUCUGCGUUCCGGAGGCGGGACUUGGUGGGUCUUUGAAACACCGUCACUGACUCAUAACUACCUACGUGUGAUUUUAUACGAGGAACUGGCGGGAUGAUUGAACUACGUGAGAUCUGAAAUGUUCUUAACUGUGAUGUCAUACAGCUGAGGCUCCGCCUCCUCCAUCCUUCAACAAUCUUCUCGCUCUGGGUUUCUCGCCUCGAGAGGUUUUAUAUCUCCCCGAGGACGCGGCGUGGAGAUACGAGGAAACGGGGAAAAGAAGAUUUAUUCCGUUGAUCAUUUCCAUCAGAGCACUUCAGCAAACGAGAGGAUUCAGAGCCACAGAACCGAUAUGUUAUAAAACGGAGGCUUCGCUCCAAUCAGGUCCGAUUUAUUUCAUUCUCAUUCUUCUUCAGGUGGCUUCGCUUUAUUGGUCUUCUAGUUUGGCCUCUAGGCGAAGGGUUAGUACUGGUUUAAGAUAUUCCACUACUGGUUUAACACAGGCUAGUACUGGUUUAAGAUGCACUACUGGUAGAAGCAGUCUUAUACUCUAAUGAUGGUUUUGCAGUCUAGAAGCAGAGGAAGAGCCUUGCUGCUCUUUGUCUGGCUGCAGAUGUUCCAGAUGUCAAGCUGCUCAGAGCCGACAACCAGCAGCUCAGGUUCGGUUCUCAAUCGGUCCAGUUCUCAGCUUGGAGGUCACACGUCUGAGGCCUCCCGCGGAGAAGAGGACUCGAGGAGGGAAACUGACAGGAACUCAUUUCUGCCCCUUUCAGCCCACAAAGGAGCCACACGGCUGAAAAGCUGCAGGCUUCCCUCUGAAUGUUCCCCAGAAGCAGCCGACCUGCGUUCAGAAAAUGAUUCCUGCUAUUUUGUCCCAGGACUUGUGUGUGUUCAUGUCUCCUGCAGCAACAAAGGUCCUUUGUGCUGUUCAGAGACGGAGCUACACACACACACACACACACACACAAAGGUCCAUCUUCACUUUACUGGAUCUGUCCUCCAACACGUCUCCAUCUCUGCUGCUUCUUUUACUCCUUAAAACUGAUCUCAUCCGGCAUUCGUGGCAAAGCCUCAGGAAAGGAACGCGUCCUAAUCUCCAGAUAUCCCACAAAAGACUAAUUAUUUUGAAUGACGUGUACAGCUAGUAAGUAAGUUUAUUUUUAAAAGACUGUAUUCAUGUAAGAAGCAGAAAUACUGCACAUCUUGAUGUCUUCUGUAAAAAAAAAAGAGCACGAAAAUGAGGAGAAUCUUUUCUUACGAUAUCGGACUGUUGUGUGGCGAACAGUUACAGUGCCUGGGGCUUUUAUUGUGAAAGGUUACACCAGAAGCAGUGUAUCUGGCCUGUGUAUUGAACCUAUUGAACACAUCUGCUCCUCCUCAUGUGAUCGAUGCCUUCAUCCACCUCCUGAGGUUUUUACCUUGCGUUCUAUGUGGGGAAACAACAGCUGUAAACAUAAAUAUUGACUCCGGCGGCCUCGAGGUCCGCGGUCCACAACCUUCUUAUUUAACUAAAUAACAGCUUUCCUCUGUAAUUACACCACUCUGGAUGAUAACGUGUAACAACACGAGGAAGGUGGGAACGUCAAUUAUUCCUUCAAUAGCCUUUUGGCCUCAGUGGGCCUGUGUGUGUGUGCAGUGAUUCUCCCUGCGUUGACCUUUGACCCUCUGUGUGUAAAGCAUGAGCUGGAGGAGAUAUUUACAUGUGUUUCCCUGAGCUGUUCGUCUGGAUGCAGGCUGGCGUGGCGCCCUGGGGGGGGGGGGGGGGUCUGACAGGACCCGCAGCUCCUGGUUGUGGAUUCUGUGUUUACGCUGAUGGUCACAGACUUCUUCAUUAGACCCGAACACUCGUCUCCCGAGUCCUCGGCUCUUCUUCUGCUCGUCUCUCACCUGGAGGCCUUUUUGUCGUCCAACUUUUCUACAGGUGAAUGCUGGGAAUGUGACCUGUCACUCAAAAGCAGUGCUGGGGGGGCUCUGUAAUGUAAAAGGGGGGAGGUGAGAGGAAGAGUCUCUUCUGUCCUUCACAUCUGCACCCACCCCCUCAAACCUGCCCCCACUUCCUCUAACCUGCCCCCCCUCCCUCAAACCUGCCCCCACUCCCUCUAACCUGCCCCCCCUCCCUCAAACCUGCCCCCACUCCCUCUAACC